UAUUGGACAAUGGGCGAAAGCCUGAUCCAGCCAUGCCGCGUGUGUGAAGAAGGUCUUCGGAUUGUAAAGCACUUUAAGUUGGGAGGAAGGGGUUGAAGCUAAUACCUUCAAUCUUUGACGUUACCAACAGCAUAAGACCCGGCUAACUCUGUGCCAGCAGCCGCGGUAAUACGGAGGGUGCAAGCGGUAAUCGGAAUUACUGGUCAUAAAGCGCGCGUAGGUGGUUCAGGAAGAUGGAAGUGAAAUCCCAAGGCUUAACCUGGGAACUGCUUUCAUAACUGCUGAGCUAGAGUACGGUAGAGGGUAGUGGAAUUUCCUGUGUAGCGGUGAAAUGCGUAGAUAUAGGAAGGAACACCAGUGGCGAAGGCGACUACCUGGACUGAUACUGACACUGAGGUGCGAAAGCGUGGAGAGCAAACAGG
rnacentral:rRNA from 1 species